GACAGAGGUGGCAAGCGUUGUUCGGAAUCACUGGGCUUAAAGGGCACGUAGGCGGCCCGGCAAGUCGGAUGUGAAAUCCCCUGGCUUAACCAGGGAACUGCAUCCGAAACUACCGGGCUCGAGCGCAGGAGGGGAGAGCGGAACUCCUAGUGGAGCGGUGAAAUGCGUAGAUAUUAGGAGGAACGCCGGUGGCGAAAGCGGCUCUCUGGACUGCAGCUGACGCUGAGGUGCGAAAGCUAGGGGAGCAAACAGG
rnacentral:rRNA from 1 species